GUGGGGAAUAUUGGGCAAUGGGGGAAACCCUGACCCAGCAACGCCGCGUGAAGGAAGAAGGUUUUCGGAUCGUAAACUUCUAUCCUUGGUGAAGAUAAUGACGGUAGCCAAGAAGGAAGCCCCGGCUAACUACGUGCCAGCAGCCGCGGUAAUACGUAGGGGGCAAGCGUUGUCCGGAAUGAUUGGGCGUAAAGGGCGCGUAGGCGGCCUGGUAAGUCUGGAGUGAAAGUCCUGCUUUUAAGGUGGGAAUUGCUUUGGAUACUGUCGGGCUUGAGGGCAGGAGAGGUAAGCGGAAUUCCCGGUGUAGCGGUGAAAUGCGUAGAGAUCGGGAGGAACACCAGUGGCGAAGGCGGCUUACUGGACUGUAACUGACGCUGAGGCGCGAAAGUGUGGGGAGCAAACAGGAUUAGAUACCCGGGUAGUCC
rnacentral:rRNA from 1 species